rnacentral:rRNA from 1 species
AUCGACGAGUUUGAUCCUGGCUCAGAUUGAACGUUGGCGGUAGGCCUAACACAUGCAAGUCGAACGCGAAAGUCCUUCGGGAUGAGUAGAGUGGCGGACGGGUGAGUAACGCGUAGGAAUCUGUCCUGUAGUGGGGGAUAACGUUUCGAAAGGAACGCUAAUACCGCAUACGCCCUACGGGGGAAAGCGGGGGACCUUCGGACCUCGUGCUAUAGGAGGAGCCUGCGUCGGAUUAGCUAGUUGGUGAGGUAAAGGCUCACCAAGGCGACGAUCCGUAGCUGGUCUGAGAGGAUGAUCAGCCACACUGGGACUGAGACACGGCCCAGACUCCUACGGGAGGCAGCAGUGGGGAAUAUUGCACAAUGGGCGAAAGCCUGAUGCAGCAAUGCCGCGUGUGUGAAGAAGGCCUGCGGGUUGUAAAGCACUUUCAGUAGGGAGGAAACAGUAGCCGGUUAAUAUCCGGUUGCCUUGACGUUACCUACAGAAGAAGCACCGGCUAACUCUGUG